UUUCCGUAGGUGAACCUGCGGAAGGAUCAUUACAGUAGUCACCGAGGUUGCCGCAAGGCCUCCUGGGUAACCUACCACCCUUUGUUUAUUACACUUUGUUGCUUUGGCAAGCCUGCCCUCGGGCUGCUGGCUCCGGCCGGCGAGCGCUUGCCAGAGGACCUAAACUCUGUUUGUCUAUACUGUCUGAGUACUAUAUAAUAGUUAAAACUUUCAACAACGGAUCUCUUGGUUCUG
rnacentral:misc_RNA from 1 species